CUUCAGUGAUGAGACGAUGACGAGUCGGAACAGGUCUCGGUCUGGUGCCGGUGGUUCGCCGGUUCAGACCCACGUUCUGUGGUUCUGCUCUGGUUCAUCGGACCAGCGAGGCCUUUUCAGUUGAAGACAUCGAGGCAUUUGUCUGAGAAGG